rnacentral:lncRNA from 1 species
CCCGGCCCAAAUUGGGCCCAGAAUCAGCCACAGCCCACAAAAAAAAAAAAAAAAAAAACAGGGAGAAGACUCCCGAAGGGAGUCUUCUUCCUCCGUUCACCGGCUCCCAAUCGGAGUCGGAGACAUGCUCCCUCCGGCCCUAUUUAAGCAGGAGAUCCCUCCUCUCUCCUUUCCAUCGAAAAUCCCGGGGCAAAACGGCGG